rnacentral:misc_RNA from 1 species
UGUACAGAACUUCUAAUGGUGUAUUGUCUAGCUUUGUUUACAAUAUUAUUGUACUGCAGGGACCCCCUGUACAGAACUACUAAUGGUGUAGUGUCUUGCUUUGUUUACAAUAUUAUUGUACUGCAGGGACCCCUGUACAGAACUACUAAUAGUGUAGUGUCUAGCUUUGUUUACAUUAUUAUUGUACUGCAGGGACCCUUGUACAGAACUACUAAUGGUGUCGUGUCAAAUAAUCUGAAAAAAAGUUGGGUUUCCGCUCCAACCAACCAAAGUCAGACUCAGAGAAAGGUUGAUCAAUCUGAGAUAGAUGCUAGGCUCAAAUCUCUCAUGGAUAGAUUAUCCAAUCAACAGUCUCUGUUGAAACCUGCUGAUAAACCAAGCAAAGAGAUGCAGCAUUAUCUGGACAAUGCUCCCAGCACCCAUAGAAAAUUAUCCGAUUCUACUCCAUAUAUUCCUUACAAGCCUGCAACAAUAAUAACCUCACCUGCAGCCCCUGUUAUAACAAACAUAGUAGAUACUGAUAAGCAGGAAUCCGGGAAUAGCACGGGAGAUACUGUACACGAGGAACCGGUUCUUGAAAGUGCUCCCAGUGACGAGUUGGAUGAGAACCUUCUUGACAGUUCCAGUGAAAGCACAGAAACAGAUUCAGACUCAGAUACAGAUACUUCACAGGCUAGUGACAUAGAGAUUGAGAAAAAAUAUGACGAAGUUCCUGAGAUAACGAUAAAUCUAGUUGAUGGGGAUACUGAUUCCAAUGUUACUCCCCAACCUGCCACUCCCCAGCCAAUCACCUCCCAGCCUUCCACUCCCCAACCUGAUACUCCCCAGCCUACCACUCCCCAACCACUCACAAAUGUGGAAGCCACAAUAAGUGAAGAGUCCAAAACUGAAAAUCCCGAUCUUUGUGAGGAGGAAUUGGGUGACAAAUCCGUAGAUAAAGAUGCACAGCCCAGCUCCUCCCAACCUAACCCUGCCAACGUAGAUGAGAUAAGAGCCCCUGGAUCCACUAGCGAAGUUCCAACGGAAGAUUGUGAUACAGCUCCCUGUGAUACACAACCUGAAGAACCCUCUCCAGAUACUCAUGAGAACAGAACUCUCGGUGAAGUGGAAGACCGGAAUCAAAAUGACUCUAAACCUGAAAUAACUCAAGAUCGCACUCGCAUUCCACCGAUUCGUCGUCCAAGUCUGCUUAAAACUGUCGUGUCGAUCAAGAAUUCCGAGCCGGUGACAGUUGUUAACUACGAAAUGGUCGAUACUUUCGACAGUAUUGAUUUUAUCGACGAUGGAUCGAGCUGCGGUGAGAGUCCAGAUAAGAAUAAACAGUUUGUCGUUGAUACUGAGAAGUAUGAGGAUGCUGAGAUCAAUGCUCUUGAUGAAACAACUGAAAUUUCAGAAUCGAUAUCUGAAAAUAGAAAUGGUGGUGAAGAAACUCAACAUAGCGCCAAAGAAACCCAAAAUGGCGGCGAAGAAACUCAAAAUGGCGCCAAAGAAAUUCAUAAUGGCGGAGAAGAAAAUAAAAAUGGCGGCUUUCUAAUAGUUUGUCAUCACGCUGAUCCUUUGCUUGAUGGAGAGAAUGAGACUAGUACUGAUCCUGCAGCGAAUCCUGUUCUUUCUUCAAAGACCGAAGAUCAACAAACCGAACCCGCCGACCUCCAUCAAGAUGAAAUCAUUGAACCUCAAGAUUCAACCUCAACUCCAACCUCUGCUCCUCCAGAGGCUGAUUCUGAGGUUUGGGAUAUCCUCAAAUCUAAGAACUCAUCAGAGAAGAAGGCCCGGUUAAACAUUUACCAGCAGAAGCAGAGUAAUAUCGUGCACAACCUAAUUAUGGGAAUGCCGCGUCAACGUAGAGUUCGGCAACCACGUGCACUUGCUCCGACGUCUUCCAUCAAACCUCCUCCUUCCGACCAGAUUGUUGCAGAAUCUAGCCCUAGAUCACCUGUAUCCGAUACAGAUGAAAGCCUUAGUGUAUCUUUUAAUCCAUCAGCAUAUAAGAGUGGGGAUUUCCCGCGAAAUAUUCGUGAAAGUUCUUUGCCGCGUUCAAUUAGAGACUCAUCACCCAGAAUUACUGCUGCUGUCUCCCUGCCUCCGACUCCGAUCACGAAUCCUGAAAAGUUUGGAAUCAGAAAACAAGAUGGACGACAGGUUGGUGAAGGACUAACAAGCCCGACUAGAUCCAGUAGUUCCCAAUAUCUUAUCAGGAGAGGGAUAUCCGGAGACCUGAUAAGUCCUUCAGGAUCCCAUACAUCAGAUACAGAUAAUCUUGACGGAUUAGUUUCAUCUGCUGCCUCAAGUCUAGGAAACUCGCCAAAGAAAGCUGGAGCUAAUUCUAACAGUAACACACCGAAGAAAGGUCGAGGGUUUAUGGCGGCCAUGACGAAUAUAUUCCGAGGAUCCUCUAGUCCUCAACCUUGUCCUCAGAAAGCAGGAGGUCAUCAGCCCCCACUUGCAGGACAAGAGGAGGACGAGGAUGAGGUUUUGUCCAGAUCUGUUUCUGUUCAGAAAAGUAAACCUGGUGUUACCUCUGUACUGCUGGGGGCUACUAAUGAAUCCAAUCCAUCUCUAGACAGUUUUACGGAGCAGGAUGAAGUUUGUGCUGGACUAAGUGAAGAAACUCUGAAGAAACUAACCGACUCUCAAAUACCUCCUCAUCUACUGGAACGCCUAGAAAAGAGGUUAACUACCAAGGGUCAGGUUCAGGCGAAUAGAGCAUCAAUGCAGAGAGUUCGGAGAAUACAGGAGAUACAACGAGAACUAGGAGUAGUCGAGGUUCAAUGCUUGGAUAUUGAACGUGAAGGAGUAGUUCUGGAGAAGAAAAUGUCAGGAGCAGAGAAGGAGAAAGACGACGAGAAGGAGGUGGAGCUCCUGGCGGCCUGGUACAGGCUCCUGGGAGAAAAGAACAGGCUGGUUAGGAGGGAGCAGGAGCUCAUGGUUGAGAGUAAACAGCUGGAGCUCAUUGAGCUCGCGGACAGAGCUGAGAUAGAGCUGGUUAGAGUUGACGGAGAGGAGGCUACAGCACUCCUAGAUAAAAUCUCAAGGAUUGCAGAACAAAGGGAGGAGUUGGAGCAGGUGUUAGACAAGGACAGGGAGAGAUACAGGAGGGAGGACAGGGAGAUACAGCUUAGGAUGCAGCAACAAGGGAUCAGUGCACCAAUGAUCUAGUUACUUAACUGAUAGAAGGAAGAGAGCUGAAUCACGUGGUCAAAUGAAUAUCCGCCAAACCUUGAUUCCAACAUGGCUGCUUUUAGGCUAAAAAAAAGCGUGAUGAAGGGAAAAUGGCGCCAACAUCUUGAAUCUAAUUGACUGCCUUUAGUACAGAAUUGAAUAUUCUCUAUUGAUAAGAAAAUUAAUACGUAAUUCUCAAACACAACUAACGUUUCCAACGCAAGUGGAUUGUACUUGCGCGCAAUUUCUGGCCCUGUCUUCGCAAUUCUACGCAAUACAAGAACAGUUGCGCUCAAUUCCGCACAGUUGCACGCAACGGUAUUCCGAUUGGAAACCCUAAACUCAACCCACCUCCCUUUAUUUCUUGCCAGUUUUCUGUAUGUUGAAUAUUAUGUGUUACUUAGCUUUUUUAUACGUUAUACAGUUUUUUAAAAUCAUUUAAUCAAGCUUGAUAUUUUUAUAUAUAUAUAUAUACAUAUUUUGUUUACAUAUUUUUGCUAACUCUACGCUGCUUUAACUUAUCUCGACCUUAUACUUAGUCCUAAAUAUGUUGAAUAAAUUGCAUAAUGCAAAUAAUUGUAAUAUUGACUUGAUAAUAACGUUUGUGAAUUUAAAUUAACAGAUUUUUAUGUAAUGUUUAAAAAAUAAUCAAAAUAGUCCCAAUGUAUCUCUCUCGUGAGCCGUGACACUGGUUGAAUUGGGUUUUGUUUCAACGCUAAUUAUUUGUUUUAAAUGUGAAACUAUGAUAAUUAAAAAAAUUAAAUAUAUUAUAUUAUUAAA